rnacentral:lncRNA from 1 species
UUUUUUUUAGAAUGUCAGAAACCGGAUCAUGCCUACUUUUAAAGAUCCUUCAUAAACGUGAACAUGUGAGAACACAUACUGAUUUAACACCAUAAUUGUUUAAAAUAAUCAACUUGCCGAAGCUGCUAAAAGUUGAGGAUUUGAAAAUCUAAACUUAAAAGUUGUGGAUGAUUUUACAAAAGGGAUUGAAGGUCAGAGACUGUGCAAAAAGACAUUAUAUUUUAGGAAUGGGCCUGGGACAGUGAGCCGGUUAGCUAAUUUGUAGCCCAAUUUUAUAUCAAAGACUCUCCUUUUAUGGUUGGGUUCAAAUACAUUAUAUUAAGAGCCCGUUUGAGCCCUUAUUUUAUUGUAAAAUUGUAUUUUGGAAUAGCAGAUUAAUAGAUAAUGUGUAGUUAAAAAAUAAUGAAAAAUUUUGAAUUUACGUGUAAUAUUAUUUUGUUGAAGAAUGUGUAAUUGAUGAGAAGAAAUAUAUUUUGGAAUUAAUAAGGAUCAAACAAUGACUAAGUCAAAAUCAUACAAUUUAAAAGUCACAAUCAUUUAUCAAAAUAGGUAUCGAUCACAUAUCAUCUGAUUUUUAAAAAUAUAUUAGACGUGUGUUAAUUUUAAAGUUAUAUUUUUAAACUAUCAUAAUUUUGAUUUUUUCUUCUGUUUGUAGUAGUGGGCCCCGUGGCCUAAUAAUGAUGCAUUUUAAGGUACAAACGUGAAGGUUUAGAAGAGUAGUAGAAAUUUCCGGUCCAUACUGAUUUAGGUAAAGAUUGGAAUCUUAGAGAUUGAGAUCGAUUUAGGCAAGAGAUUGAUGGAUUCUCCCAGAGUCCACAAAGAGAUUACAGUUGUAAAAUUUUGAUAAUGACCUCUUAAAAGUAUAAUUAAUAAUUUAAUAUCGUGACAUUGAGAGUGAGCACCAAACAAUAUAAAGUUCCAAUCUAAUUCUCAAAUUAGGAACAUGUGACUCAUGUUCAUAGAACGAUCAAAAAACACAAAGGAGAUUCUGAUUAACUCCAAAUGAAUGACAAGUUACAAUCAUAUAAAAAUCAUACUUGAAAUCGAAGAUUGUUAGAAUCACUUUAUUUGCAUAACACGCCCUAGGAAAUGAGCAGACUAUAUAAAGAAAAAGACUCCAGACAUGAUGAUUCUCUAUACUCUCGAAUCGAUUUGUAACUUUGUACUAAGAUAUAAAAAUCUAAAACCAAUAUAAAACAUUUUUCUUUUUCUCAAUAUUGUUAUUUCCUUUUUCUUCUGUUCUAAGCCUCAAAGAGUGAAAUCAAAAACUUAAAGGAAACACAAGUGCGCAACUCUAUCGAUAACAAAAAUGAAAAAUAGAAUGAGAGAGCAAGCACCACAUGAAAGACGGUACGGUACAUUGCUCUUUAUUCGAUUUCUCGAAAAUCUCGAGAAAUUUGAGCCUUCAUAAUCUCGACACGUGUUCCUAUCUCGUAAUUCUGUCACCGUCAUCACUGAUUGAUUAAAUCAAGGCCGACUUUCGGGGACCUAUAAAAUUCAUAUUUCAUGUUCACGCAUUACGUGGUGGAUAUUUAUUGGUGGGCAUGACAGAGUAUGAUAUUUCUACUUUCUUCU